UACGUAGGGGGCAAGCGUUGUCCGGAAUCAUUGGGCGUAAAGCGCGUGUAGGCGGCCAGGUAAGUCCGUUCUGAAAGCCCGGGGCUCAACCCCGGGAGGCGGAUGGAUACUGCUUGGCUCGAGUCCGGAAGAGGCGAGUGGAAUUCCCGGUGUAGCGGUGAAAUGCGCAGAUAUCAGGAGGAACACCAAUUGCGAAGGCAGCUCGCUGGGACGUGACUGACGCUGAGGAGCGAAAGCGUGGGGAGCAAACAGG
rnacentral:rRNA from 1 species